rnacentral:rRNA from 1 species
AGUGGCGGACGGGUGAGUAACGCGUGAGAAUCUGCCUUGGGGUCGGGGACAACCACUGGAAACGGUGGCUAAUACCGGAUAAGCCGAUUGGUGAAAGAUUUAUUGCCCGAAGAGGAGCUCGCGUCUGAUUAGCUAGUUGGUGAGGUAAGAGCUCACCAAGGCAGCGAUCAGUAGCUGGUCUGAGAUGACGAUCAGCCACACUGGGACUGAGACACGGCCCAGACUCCUACGGGAGGCAGCAGUGGGGAAUUUUCCGCAAUGGGCGAAAGCCUGACGGAGCAAGACCGCGUGAGGGAGGAAGGCUCUUGGGUUGUAAACCUCUUUUCUCAGGGAAGAAGCUCUGACGGUACCUGAGGAAUCAGCCUCGGCUAACUCCGUGCCAGCAGCCGCGGUAAUACGGAGGAGGCAAGCGUUAUCCGGAAUUAUUGGGCGUAAAGCGUCCGCAGGUGGCGAUUCAAGUCUGCUGUCAAAGCACGGGGCUUAACUCCGUAAAGGCAGUGGAAACUGAAUAGCUAGAGUGCCGUAGGGGUAGAGGGAAUUCCCGGUGUAGCGGUGAAAUGCGUAGAGAUCGGGAAGAACAUCGGUGGCGAAAGCGCUCUACUGGACGGCAACUGACACUCAGGGACGAAAGCUAGGGGAGCGAAUGGGAUUAGAUACCCC